rnacentral:rRNA from 1 species
ACGCUGGCGGUAUGCUUUACACAUGCAAGUCGUACGAGAGUUUUUAACUCAAGUGGCGGACGGGUGAGUAACACGUAAGAAUUUGCCUUUAGGAGGGGGACAACAACUGGAAACGGUUGCUAAUACCCCAUGUGCUUUCGAGUGAAAUGGAUUUAUCCGCCUAGAGAGAAGCUUGCGGCUGAUUAGCUUGUUGGUGAGGUAAUGGCUUACCAAGGCGACGAUCAGUAUCUGGUUUGAGAGGACGAUCAGACACACUGGAACUGAGACACGGUCCAGACUCCUACGGGAGGCAGCAGUGGGGAAUUUUCCGCAAUGGGCGAAAGCCUGACGGAGCAAUACCGCGUGAGGGAUGACGGCCUAUGGGUUGUAAACCUCUUUUUUCAGGGAGGAAUCAAUGACGUGUACCUGAAGAAUAAGCAUCGGCUAACUCCGUGCCAGCAGCCGUGGUAAGACGGAGGAUGCGAGUGUUAUCCGGAAUCACUGGGCGUAAAGCGUCUGUAGGUGGUCAAAUAAGUCAACUGUUAAAUCUUGAGGCUCAACCUCAAAAUCGCAGUCGAAACUAUUAGACUAGAGUAUAGUAGGGGUAAAGGGAAUUUCCAGUGGAGCGGUGAAAUGCGUAGAGAUUGGAAAGAACACCGAUGGCGAAGGCACUUUACUGGGCUAUUACUAACACUGAGAGACGAAAGCUAGGGUAGCAAAUGGGAUUAGAUACCCCAGUAGUCCUAGCCGUAAACAAUGGAUACUAGAUGUUGAACAGAUCGACCUGUGCAGUAUCAAAGCUAACGCGUUAAGUAUCCCGCCUGG